rnacentral:misc_RNA from 1 species
AGGGAGCACAGAUCAACAUGCCUAUAUUCAACAACUACGAGAAGGUGUGCACAAUUUCUUUGCGACAUUUAUUGAAGUAUUGCGUGAUAGGCCCCCUGGUCAUGAUUGGGAGCUUGAACCUGGCGUUACUUGUGGCGACUACCUCUUUGGAAUGUUACAGGGAACAAGGUCAGCUCUGUAUUCGAACGAUCGGGAGUCCAUCACAGUCACUGUGCAGGAAGUGACACCUAGAUCUGUUGGAGCUCUAGUAGCACUCUAUGAGCGAGCUGUUGGGAUUUAUGCUUCACUUGUCAACAUUAACGCUUAUCAUCAACCUGGUGUGGAAGCUGGGAAA